rnacentral:rRNA from 1 species
AUUGAACGCUGGCGGCAUGCCUUACACAUGCAAGUCGAACGGUAACGGGCCUUCGGGUGCCGCCGAGUGGCGAACGGGUGAGUAAUACAUCGGAACGUGCCCGAUCGUGGGGGAUAACGAGGCGAAGGCUUUGCUAAUACCGCAUACGAUCUACGGAUGAAAGCAGGGGACCGCAAGGCCUUGCGCGGACGGAGCGGCCGAUGGCAGAUUAGGUAGUUGGUGGGAUAAAAGCUUACCAAGCCGACGAUCUGUAGCUGGUCUGAGAGGAUGAUCAGCCACACUGGGACUGAGACACGGCCCAGACUCCUACGGGAGGCAGCAGUGGGGAAUUUUGGACAAUGGGCGCAAGCCUGAUCCAGCCAUGCCGCGUGCAGGAUGAAGGCUUUCGGGUUGUAAACUGCUUUUGUACGGAACGAAAAGCCUUCUUUUAAUACAGGAGGGUCAUGACGGUACCGUAAGAAUAAGCACCGGCUAACUACGUG